UGACGGCGUGCCUUUUGCAUAAUGAGCCUGCGAGUUGUGGUCAUUGGCGAGGCUAAGAGCCGAAGGUUCGGAGCCGGAGCGAAAGCGAGUCCGAAGAGGGCGUAUAGUCGAUGGCUGCAGACGCGAAACCGGGUGAUCUACGCAUGGGCAGGCUGAAGGCUGGGUAACACCAGCUGGAGGGCCGAACCGGUAAGCGUUGAAAAGCUUUCGGAUGACCUGUGCGUAGGAGUGAAAGGCCAAUCAAACCCGGAGAUAGCUCGUACUCCCCGAAAUGCAUUUAGGUGCAGCCUCGGUAAAGACCGACGGAGGUAGAGCGACCGAUAGGGUGCGAGGGCUUCGCCGCCUAUCAAGCCCUGACGAACUCCGAAUGCCGUCGGUUGCUUACCGGGAGUGAGGGCGCGGGUGCUAAGGUCCGCGUCCGAAAGAGGAACAACUCAGACCACCGUCUAAGGCCCCGAAAUCCGGGCCGAGUUGAAGCCAAUAACGAGGUGGGACCGCAUAGACAGUUAGGAUGUUGGCUUGGAAGCAGCCAUUCAUUCAAAGAGUGCGUAACAGCUCACUAAUCGAGCGGUCCCGCGUGGAUAAUAAUCGGGCAUAAGUCCGGUGCCGAAGACGUGGAAUCAACCUUGAAGGUUGAUUGGUAGGGGAGCAUUCUGCCGCCGGUGAAGGAGGGCCGCGAGACCCUCUGGAGGUUGCAGAAAAGCAAAUGCAGGCAUAAGUAACGACAAAGGGGGCGGGAAACCCCCUCGCCGGAAGGCCAAGGUUUCCUGAUCAACGCUAAUCGGAUCAGGGUAAGCCGGGACCUAAGCAAAAGCCGCGAGGCGUAUGCGAUGGACAAACGGUAAAAAUUCCGUUGCCUCCGGUUUGAGAGCCCCGUUGAUGACGGAGGAGCGAAAGACGCGCGUGCUGACGGAACAGCACGUUAAAGGGAAGUAGCCUUAUGGUGAAGCCCGACAGUACACAGAGGCUUCGGCCGAAGUGAUAGCCGUACCGUAGCAGACUCCCGAGAAAAGUCAGCGAGAGGCGCUUGAUCAAACCGGGGCCCGUACCGAAAACCGACACAGGUGGCCGGGUAGAAAAUACUGAGGCGCUCGAGAGAUUCACGGUCAAGGAACUAGGCAAAUUGGCCCCGUAACUUCGGGAGAAGGGGCCCUCGUUUAGCAAGCGAGGCGCAGAGAAUAAGUCCAGGCAACUGUUUAGCAAAAACACAGGGCUGUGCCAAGCCGCAAGGCGCUGCAUACAGGCUGACACCUGCCCGGUGCCGGAAGGUUAAGCGGAGCUGUCAUCGCAAGAGAAGCAGUGAAGUGAAGCCCCGGUAAACGGCGGCCGUAACUAUAACGGUCCUAAGGUAGCGAAAUUCCUUGUCGGGUAAGUUCCGACCUGCACGAAUGGUGUAAUGAUCCGGACACUGUCUCGACCGUGAGCUCGGUGAAAUUGUAGUAUCGGUGAAGAUGCCGAUUACCCGCAACGGGACGAAAAGACCCCGUGAACCUUUACUGCAGCUUAGCAUUGGGGCCGGGUGUGCGAUGUGUAGGAUAGUCCGGAGACAGCGAAGCCGGGACGCCAGUCUCGGUGGAGUCGACGUUGAAAUACGGGCCUUCGCACAUUUGGCUUCUAACUUGCGAUGCAAGGACAUUGCUUGGCGGGUAGUUUGACUGGGGUGGUCGCCUCCAAAAGCGUAACGGAGGCUUCUAAAGGUGCCCUCAGGCCGAUUGGCAACCGGCCGCAGAGCGCAAUGGCAUAAGGGAGCUUGACUGUGAGACCAACAAGUCGGACAGGUAGGAAACUUGAGCAUAGUGAUCCGGCGGUUCCGUAUGGAAGGGCCGUCGCUCAAAGGAUAAAA
rnacentral:rRNA from 1 species